rnacentral:rRNA from 1 species
UACGUAGGCAGCAAGCGUUGUUCGGAAUUACUGGGCGUAAAGAGUGUGUAGGCGGUUUUCUAAGUUUGGUGUGAAAUCUCCCGGCUUAACUGGGAGGGUGCGCCGAAAACUGAUAGACUUGAGGGCUUCAGAGGGACACGGAAUUCCGGGUGGAGUGGUGAAAUGCGCAGAUAUCAGGAGGAACACCGGUGGCGAAGGCGGAUCUCUGGGCCAUUACUGACGCUGAGGAGCGAAAGCGUGGGGAGCGAACAGG